rnacentral:rRNA from 1 species
GACGAACGCUGGCGGCAGGCCUAACACAUGCAAGUCGAGCGAGCGGCCGACGGGUGAGUAAUGUAUGGGGACUGCCCGAUAGAGGGGGAUAACUACUGGAAACGGUGGCUAAUACAGCAUACUGUCGGAUAACCCAUAUGGGAUUAGCUAGUAGGUAAGGUAAUGGCUUACCUAGGCGACGAUCCCUAGCUGGUCUGAGAGGAUGAUCAGCCACACGGGGACUGUGACACGGCCCAGACCCCUACGGAGGCAGCCUUGUGGAAUAUUGCACAAUGGGCGCAAGCCUGAUGCAGCCAUGCCGCGUGUAUGAAGAAGGCCCUAGGUUUGUAAAGUACUUUCAGUCGGGAGGCGUUACCGACAGAAGAAGAACCGGCUAACUCCGUGCCAGCAGCCGCGGUAAUAC